UGUUCCGCGCUCUCUUUGUCGGUGGACGCAGGCCGAUGCAGUAAAUUAGUAUUAGAAGCAACGCCACAUUGGCGUUUGGGUGCCGGUGCCUGAGUCAGUGCCUCCCCAGGAUUCUCUCUACCACAUCAGCAAAGCUGCACCCCGUAGACCCCACACACUAUGCUACCCACUCCACAGGGUCGUUCGUUCAGGAACUAAAGGCCUCAGCCGGCGGGUGGCUCAAUGAGUGAAACUUGAUGCCGAGCCUGGUGACCUGAGUUUGAAGCAGAAAACCAGCUCCACGUGCGUGCCGUGGGGCGCACACGCAUGAUAAGUAAAAUGUAAUAUUUUUAAAAAAUAACAAUGAAGUACCUACUGUGUCCCUUGCUUUAGCUGUUAUGUUCAGACAAACGACAAUAUAACUUGAAAAUAACAAUCCUCACCGAAAUAAAAUAUAAAAAUGUUUUCAACUCAUGUUGAAAUAGUUUAGGUUUAGGCGGUGAAUGUACGGCAGGAGAGAAAGAUGCAAAGUUCAGGGACAUGGGAAGAGAAAAUCACUUUCUCCCCUAAAUACUGUCAAGGAUUAGCUGAGAGCUAAGAAUUCCGGCACAAUUAGCAUUUGCUAUGGAGAGACAACACUCCCUUUAGAGAAAGAUACGUCAGCUAAGUCCUAAACGAGGAUGGCCUUUCGCCUUUCCCAGCUAUAAAGCGGCAGUUCGCUAGGAGCCUCACAAAAAAACCUACUUAAAUAAAUGACGUGUCUUAACCUCCGUGUCCAUCCUUGUAACACGUGGGUCUAUCAUCAGAGUGCAGACCCUCCCUACUCAAGGCACCUCUGAAGUCGCCUUCUAAUCUCAUUUAUCCAAACCAAAGUGAGAAGAAGGAGCAGUAGUCGUGGGGGCUAACAGGGAAGAUCGCGAAGAGGAGCGGCAGAUGGAGAAACUAAUGUCAACCCCAGAUCCUUCCUAGUUCACUGGUCCCAGACACACUACAGAACAGGACUCCCAGCCAUAGAACUGUAACAGAUGGCUGAGAUCCCCUCCCCUCAAAAUGUCUUAUAUUAUCACAUAAACCCAGCAGGUGGACUUCACUUCAAACGCCUGACCAGUACUCAUCAAAGCCUCCAAAGUCACAAAAACAAAAGAAAAAGGAAAGACUGAGAAAUUGUCCCAGGUGGAAGGAGACCAAGGAAGCUUGAUUACCCGAUGUGGUUCUGGGCACAAGACUGCGUUAGGCCAGUUUCUCACAGGGAAAUCUGGUAGAGCUCAGUGUUUGAUCAGUUCCAGAGCUACUUUCCAAGUUCCAACAAAGAGACUGUGUGGAGCAUGCUAACACCAGGAAGGUGGGGGAGAUGUCUGCAGGAAGCUGCAGCUAGAAGGCGCGGGUCGUGGUCACGGAAGGGAGAGCAGGUGUGGAGGGGCAUGAAGUCGUCUGAGCUUUUCUUCGCUGUUCUUGUCGUGCUGGAGGUCAAAAGGCUGUAAACAGGCUGGGCAGGCGUCCUCCGCUGAGCGACAGCCCGCUGCCAGAAGGAACUUUGAGGACAUGAUCAGAACACUACAGCUGGCCAAGCAGGGCUCUAGUCGCUGAGCGGUCACUAGCUCCGUAUCGAGUCAAGCUCCAUAUGGAGUCAAUUUUUUUAUUGCCGUUGUUCCUUAUUUCUUCUGAGCGUCUCUGGCUUUGGCAUAAAUUUCCGAUUUUGAACGCACAUGUACUUUACGUAAGCGGUGAUCUUAUUUCAAGAUCCGUGAACCUAGGCCCCUUAAUCUUUUUGUUUAGUCAGUGAAAAGCUGCCAAGCUCACAGUAGUAAGUGGUCCUGACGAGAAGGUGAGGCCAUAUCCGCGCUGACAGUGACGAAUCUGCUUUGCCGAAAGCUAAAGGGCGUCGAGUGAUUCUGAAGUUGGAGAAGGGCAAGGUGGGAUACUGUGAGCCCAGCAUCAUGAGGUAGAGGAACCGGCUCCUGGCCCACCCUCCCAGCGGGUUCAGAUCAAAGUAGACUGCGCAGAUUUGCUCCACUUUCCAAGGAGUGUGCUCCUUGUGAGCCCCUGGGGCCAUCCCUGGGUGUGACCAGCAUCAGACGCUGGCUAAGAGCUGACUCAGUUUUAGCAACUACCCAUUUGGUGGGGGAAGCCAAUUUGUGGACACCUGUUGAGGAAGUACCAAGUUCUUUUGCAUUGAUCUGGGUUUAUGUAGAUCUGAAUGUCAUAUCUUCAAGGGACACAGAAGGAUAAAAGAAACCCCAAGUUCCGUUUCUAUAUGCACACUAUCACCAAGUAGAAGGGACCAAAGGAUCACCUGCCCAGGGCACGAACUGAAACCCAGCCCCUGUGGGAACCCUUUGAGCCUAUACAUGGUUCUUAAAACUCCUGCUUGCAAUGACCACGUACCUAUCUCUUUAUAGAAACGGACAUGUUGGCUGGAUCACUGCUCCGUGCCAACUCUUCCAGUAUUGGAAGAUGUAUUACCUUGAGUACCCUCGUCCGGAACACCAGCAAGUGGCCCCUUCAAGGGCUCCAGGGAGAUGCAUCUCGUUUCUUUAUUAAGGUGUGGCCCAGAUGAAAGAGCAGCUGUGCAAUGCGGUAAAGCGGGUAUGCGGGAGUCAUGGAAUCCUCCAGCAGAACACCAAGGAAAAAACUGGAUGCUUUUUUGUGUUUUGGCACUGAGGAUGGCCAGACCUGAGGCACACUAAGUAUAUACUCCAUCACCGAGCUCUACCCCCAGCCCAGCACUCUUUUUUGAAAGAUAAAUGAAAGCCAACUGGCAGAGCUUCUGAAAAUUGAUGGGUCCCUGCUGGGCACAGUGGGCACAAUCACCUGGGAUUGUGGAGCAGCCAAAUUGAGACUUGGGAGAUCAAUAAGGGAGAAGGAAGCCACAGUGGAAGUUGUGAUCACUUACUAUGAACUGAGUACUCUCCUCUAUAUCUCAAAAUAUGUGUGUUCGAGUCCUUAGCCCAAACCCCUCCCUCAGAGCAUGGUUUGCACAAAGACAAAGCCUGUGUGGAGAUCAGUGGAAAAGAAGGAGACGUGAGGGGCUGGAGAGAUGGCUCAGUGGUUAAGAGCAUUGCCUGCUCUUCCAAAGGUC